GACGAACGCUGGCGGCGUGCUUAACACAUGCAAGUCGAACGGGAAGGCCCUGCUUUUGUGGGGGGCUCGAGUGGGGAAAGGGUGAGUAACACGUGAGUAACCUGCCCUUGACUUUGGGGUAACUUCAGGAAACUGGGGCUAAUACCGGAUAGGAGCCCCCCCUGCCUUGUGGGGGGUGGAAAGUUUUGGCGGUUGGGGAUGGACUCGCGGCUUAUCAGCUUGUUGGUGGGGUAGUGGCUUACCAAGGCUUUGGCGGGUAGCCGGCCUGAGAGGGUGACCGGCCACAUUGGGACUGAGAUACGGCCCAGACUCCUACGGGAGGCAGCAGUGGGGAAUAUUGCACAAUGGGCGGAAGCCUGAUGCAGCAACGCCGCGUGCGGGAUGACGGCCUUCGGGUUGUAAACCGCUUUCGCCUGUGACGAAGCGUGAGUGACGGUAAUGGGUAAAGAAGCACCGGCUAACUACGUG
rnacentral:rRNA from 1 species